AUGGAACGUGCUGUUGGAGAAGCUACCAAAGAUUCAGAUCUUUCAAGGAGUGCUUUGCAGAAAAUGAGACGCAUGGAGGGUUCACUGUCUAAAGCCGACCGUGCUUUCCCGGACUGCGCUGCUAUGGCUGCUAAGCUCCGUGCGAUGAAUGAUAACGCUGAAGAACAAGUUCGUUCUCAUCAACACGAAGUAACCCAUCUUGUUUAUCUUGCUGCUAGGACCACCGCUAGGACCACCCCUAAAGGCUUUCACUGUCUUUCUAUGCAACUAACUGCUGAUUACUUUUCCCUGAGACCUGAUGAUAGAAAGCUGCCAAAUGAAAAUAAGAUUCAUGAUCCGGAACUUUAUCAUUAUGCUGUCUUCUCUGACAAUGUUCUGGCAUGUGGAGUGGUUGUUAACUCAACUGUGUCUAAUUCCAAGGUCUCUGAUGCUGUCCUGCUG